GGAGGAGGAGGAGGAUGUGGUCAAAAGCUCUGACAGCAUUACUUCCCUCCCUGGGGAGAAAAAGGAAGCUGUUCUGUUUCGUCUCACCCAGCUGUCUGAUGGAGCACUUCCAACGGCUGUGGGGGACCCUGCAACAGGCCCUGGAUUAUGUUUCCUCCUUCACCACCUACCUCCUUGGAGAUGAAACACAUCCAGGAGCAGAAGCAUCAGGGGCUACAAGGGAAAGGAGAAACUAUAGCGGCCACCAUAGUGGUGAAGUGGAGUCAACNUGCUAUGGAAACAUUUCCUCAAGGGGACACCUGGGGGUCCUCGAAGAUCCCUGCACGGCAGAGGUAGGUAUAAAAAGUAAGCAAGUGGGGCGAGAUCCAUCUAAGCUCUAUUUCUCUUUCACUAAUGCCAAUCUCUUUGUAGAUAAACCCAGCCAGAGAGCAGAUGCAGGUGGCAUCGGAACCAGCAGACGAUAGCGCUCNUCCUGCAAGGGACGUUCUCAAAUCUUCCAAACUGCCUGAUAAAUGUGAGGGAUGGGAAGAGCAUGAGCAGAAACUCUCAGAGUCCUCCCAGUUUCCAGCUGAUGCCUCAAAGACAAAACCCACAGCAACUGGAAUUUGUGGCACUCNGCAAGAUCACCUAGAAGAGCCAAGGAUGAUUGAGGGACUCCAUCAGCGGGAGCCAGAAGGACUCAGCUGGAAGGGGAGAACACAGCAUGAGGGGGUGGAAGAUACAGGAUGCGACCUUCCCUGGGAACCAGGCAGGCAAGGAGACAGGGAACUGGCUGGCAUUAUAGGGAGCCAAGGGGAGCAAAAGAAGAAAGAGGAAAUUGUGCGCAAGGAGGAUAUCCAAGAGCAGGCAGAAGAAGGGGUAUGGUUUGCAGAAGAACAGCAAAGAGAGCUGGAGCGGGUCAAAUAUAAUGAAGGAUUUCAGCCUGUGGGCCUGGAGAAAGAGGUAAAGAUGGUGAACCACCACAAGAUAAAGGCUGAAAGGGAGCAGCAAGAUGAAAUAGGAAACCAGCAGGGGCAGCAAGAUAUGGCAGGNGCAGAGGGGGUUCUUCAAGGAAAACCAGAGUCCCAAGAAGACCAGNAGAAGAUGCUAGAAGGGGCAGGGAAAAGCCAUCAGUGGGAUCUAAAGUGGGAUGUUGAAGGGGCAGAAGGGACUCAAGAAAGUCAAGAGAAUGGGCAGGAGAUGAUUUCAACAAAUGAGGGGCUUCCGCAAGCAGUUUCAGCUUUUUCAUUGUUAAGCGGUGGAAUGCAGAGGAGGCUAGAGGAGGCAACCAAGAUGGCAGGGGGCCAGCAGUUGAAGGUAGGGGAAGAGAAGGAGGAGGAACAAGAAGAAGAAGAACAAGGACAAGAACACAAAAAAGAAUAUGAACAAGAACAUGAACAAGAAUGUGAACACGAACAUAAACAUAAACACAAACAAGAACGUGAACAAGAACAUGAACCCAAACAAGAACGUGAACACGAAUGCGAACAAGAACGUGAACACGAACAAGAACAAGAACGUGAACACGAACAAGAACAAGAAAGUGAACAUGAACAAGAACAUGAACAAGAACGCGAACAUGAACAAGAAUGCGAACACGAACGUGAACAAGAAUGUGAACACGAACAAGAAAGUGAAUGUGAACAAGAAUGUGAACCUGAACGCGAACGUGAACGCGAACGUGAACGCGAACACAAACAAGAACAAGAACACGAACAGGAACAAGAAUGUGAACCCGAACAAGAAUGUGAACCCAAACAAGAACGUGAACACGAAUGCGAACGUGAACGCGAACAAGAACGUGAACGUGAACACAAACAAGAAUGUGAACAAGAACAAGAACAUGAACACAUACAAGAACACGAACAUGAACACGAACAAGAACAAGAAAGUGAACCUGAACACGAACAAGAAUGUGAACCCGAACAAGAAUGUGAACCCAAACAAGAACGUGAACACGAAUGUGAACGUGAACGCGAACAAGAACGUGAACGUGAACACAAACAAGAACGUGAACAAGAACAAGAACAUGAACACAUACAAGAACACAAACAUGAACACGAACACGAACAAGAACACGAACAAGAAAGUGAACCUGAACACGAACAAGAAAGUGAACCUGAACAAGAACCUGAACAAGAAUGUGAAUGCGAACAAGAACGUGAACACGAACACGAACAUGAACACAAACAAGUACACAAACAUGAACAAGAACACGAACAAGAACAAGAAAGAAAACAUGAACACAAACAUGAACAAGAACAUGAACAUGAACACGAACACGAACACGAACAUAAACACGAACAAGAACGUGAACAGGAACAAGAAGACCACCAGCAGGCAGUGUUAGAUGUGGUGGCGGCGGCAGCAGCAGAAGGAAUUCAGCCUGCAAUGCCAGACAAAGGAAAGACUGAAAGGGAACAGGAAGAGGCAUUAAAAGGGGCAAAGAAUAGCUAUCUGUGGGAGUCACUAGAAACUGUGACUUUGGAAGAGCAGAGUGAGGACUCAAAAGGUGUAGUGAUUAGGAAAGGCCUGCAAGAUGACCUGGAAGGGAAUCAGGAGGAACUAGAGGAAGUUGUGGGAAAUGGGGAAGAACAGGAGGAACAAACAGGAGAACUGGAUAGUGACCAGAAUGGAGAGUUAGAGAGAUUGGCAGAACAUAAUGAACUUGAUGAAGAAGAGCUGGUAGAAGCCAAAGCCACAGAGGUUCAACUGACAGAACCAGAAAAGAUUGAGAGGAACCUACAAGAGCCCAUGGUAUGCAGUGCCUCCUUCAAUACAGAACUCUCAGCUGGUCUUAGAGCCUUCCCAGAUGAGGUAAGCAUAAAGAAUAGGAAAGUAAAGCUAGCUGCAAAUCUGAAAUCAGGAGUUACCAAAUUCACUUCUGUUCUUCAGGUCACACCUCUAGACACAAGUGCCCAGAAGGAACGGGUGCUACUGCGUCGCAAGAGCUCCAUCCGACGAGCACCCAGUGUGAAGAAACCAAGGUCACCAGUGAAAACCCAGCCACAAGAGACAAAUAUGGAUGAGGAAAUUCCACCUGAGCCACAAAUACCAACCAAGCCAAAACUGAGGCAUUCUGGGUUUGGACCUAUGCACCCAAACAUGAUGGCUGAACUGCAGAUGCGCCUACGCAAGCCACAGUAACCUGAAAUUCAGAGGGACUGAAGGACAUCAAACUUGCAAGCUCUCUGCUGUAUCCUGAAUUAAGCCAAUGUGACUAAAAAUCAAAGGGAUGAAAACAACAAAAUACAAGUGACAGUAGUACUUGUAGAUGGGAUUGUAAAAAUGUACAAGUGUAACUCCAUUAAUAGGUCAACAAAAAUGUCACAAAUUAGUGUGCAAACUCAGGUAUACAGAAAUCUUAGUCCAGGCCCAGAAACAUACGCUGUCAGUGGCCCCUUACAUCAGUGAAGGCAGGAUGGUGAAGCCACCUUCAGUGAAACCACUUUCAUACAAAGGGUCUGGCUUUCCCACCAACAGGACCACCUUUGAGGAGACACAUUAAGGGGUCCCAUGAUCUCAAGGGCCUCAUAGUGAGGGAAUACUGAUAUAACAUUUUUCGAAUUCAUUCUCUCAAGGAGAGGUGGACCUGGGAUCAAAAUUUGUGAGGAAGGCUAUAAUUCUACUACUAGCAUACUUACAGAUACCUGUCUUUCCUGCUGCCUGGAGUUUUCUCACAAUGGCAGCCCAGGGAUAGUUGUCUCUGCUCACUCAGUUAUANCUANNUCCCUGUAUAAGCUUUUGCAGUCUCCAAAAGUUUUUGUCAGGCUAAAGGAAAGNAAAGGGAGAAAAAGAGUUGACAGGUCAUGAAACCAUUAAGUGUAUGUUUGUAAAUGCAAUGUGGACAGGAUUAUCAAACUUUUAAACUAGAUUCUGUUAGAAGCCUUGAAGUUUUAGCUUACACUUUAGGGCUGCUGGGAAAACAGAGCACACCAUAUUAUCUGAAAAUACAAUAGUUAGGCAUGACCCAGGUCAACCCUAGAUGAAAACAGUUUUUCCUUUCAGAACCAAGCAGUUGAUCAAAGCAAGAGAGCAAUUCAGAGGGACACAUACAAUAAAAAGGCUAAGUGUGCUUAAACA
rnacentral:lncRNA from 1 species